rnacentral:rRNA from 1 species
GGGCAACCUGCCCUCUAGAUGGGGACAACAUCCCGAAAGGGGUGCUAAUACCGAAUAUGACAGCAAUCUCGCAUGAGGAUGCUGUGAAAGAUGGCCUCUAUUUAUAAGCUAUCGCUAGAGGAUGGGCCUGCGUCUGAUUAGCUAGUUGGUGGGGUAACGGCCUACCAAGGCGAUGAUCAGUAGCCGGUCUGAGAGGAUGAACGGCCACAUUGGGACUGAGACACGGCCCAGACUCCUACGGGAGGCAGCAGUGGGGAAUCUUCCGCAAUGGGCGAAAGCCUGACGGAGCAAUGCCGCGUGAGUGAUGAAGGAAUUCGUUCCGUAAAGCUCUUUUGUUUAUGACGAAUGUGCAGGUUGUGAAUAAUGACUUGGAAUGACGGUAGUAAACGAAUAAGCCACGGCUAACUACGUGCCAGCAGCCGCGGUAAUACGUAGGUGGCGAGCGUUGUCCGGAAUUAUUGGGCGUAAAGAGCAUGUAGGCGGUUUUUUAAGUCUGGAGUGAAAAUGCGGGGCUCAACCCCGUAUGGCUCUGGAUACUGGAAGACUCGAGUGCAGGAGAGGAAAGGGGAAUUCCCAGUGUAGCGGUGAAAUGCGUAGAUAUUGGGAGGAACACCAGUGGCGAAGGCGCCUUUCUGGACUGUGUCUGACGCUGAGAUGCGAAA